rnacentral:rRNA from 1 species
GAUGAACGCUGGCGGCGUGCCUAAUACAUGCAAGUCGAGCGAACAGACGAGGAGCUUGCUCCUCUGACGUUAGCGGCGGACGGGUGAGUAACACGUGGAUAACCUACCUAUAAGACUGGGAUAACUUCGGGAAACCGGAGCUAAUACCGGAUAACAUGUUGAACCGCAUGGUUCAACAGUGAAAGACGGUCUUGCUGUCACUUAUAGAUGGAUCCGCGCCGCAUUAGCUAGUUGGUAAGGUAACGGCUUACCAAGGCAACGAUGCGUAGCCGACCUGAGAGGGUGAUCGGCCACAAGGGAACUGAGAAACGGUCCAGACUCCUAAGGGAGGCAGCAGUAGGGAAUCUUCCGCAAUGGGCGAAAGCCUGACGGAGCAACGCCGCGUGAGUGAAGAAGGUCUUCGGAUCGUAAAACUCUGUUAUUAGGGAAGAACAAAUGUGUAAGUAACUAUGCACGUCUUGACGGUACCUAAUCAGAAAGCCACGGCUAACUACGUG